rnacentral:rRNA from 1 species
UUGCACAAUGGGGGCAACCCUGAUGCAGCGACGCCGCGUGAGCGAUGAAGCCCUUCGGGGCGUAAAGCUCUUUCGACCGGAACGAUAAUGACGGUACCGGGAGAAGAAGCUGCGGCUAACUACGUGCCAGCAGCCGCGGUAAUACGUAGGCAGCAAGCGUUGUUCGGAGUUACUGGGCGUAAAGAGUGCGUAGGCGGUUUUCUAAGUUCGGUGUGAAAUCUCCCGGCUUAACUGGGAGGGUGCGCCGAAGACUGGGAAGCUGGAGUGUGGGAAAGGCAGGCGGAAUUCCUGGUGGAGCGGUGAAAGGCGUAGAUAUCAGGAGGAACACCGGCGGUGUAGACGGCUUUCUAGACCAUAACUGACUCUGAGGCACGAAAGCGUGGGUAGCAAACA